rnacentral:rRNA from 1 species
AAUGAACGCUGGCGGCAGGCCUAACACAUGCAAGUCGAGCGGAUGCGUGGAGCUUGUUCUCUGAUUCAGUGGAGGACGGGUGUGUAAUACCUAGGAAUAUGCCUGAUCGUGGGGGCCAGCGUUACGACAGGAAAGCUAAUCUAGCAUCCGUCCUACGGGUGAACGUGGUGGAUCUUCGGACCACACGCUAUUAGAUGAGCCUAGUACGGAUUAGCUAGUUGGUGAGGUAAAGGCUCACCAAGGCGACGAUCCGUAACUGGUCUGAGAGGAUGACCAGACACACUGGAACUGAGACACGGUCCAGACUCCUACGGGAGGCAGCAGUGGGGAAUAUUGGACAAUGGGCGAAAGCCUGAUCCAGCCAUGCCGCGUGAGUGAAGAAGGUCUUCGGAUCGUAAAGCACUGUAAGUAGGGAGGAAGGAAAGUAUGUUAAUACCUGGAUGUUUUGACGGUACCAACAGAAUAAGCACCGGCUAACUUCGUG